rnacentral:rRNA from 1 species
AAUCAACGCUGGCGGCGUGCCUAAUACAUGCAAGUCGAACGCGAAGACCCCGCAAGGGGUGUAUAGCGUGGCAAACGGGUGAGUAACGCGUGGGCGACCUGCCUUCGAGUGGGGGAUAACCUUCCGAAAGGAGGGCUAAUACCGCAUGACAUACCAUGCUUGGAUGCAUGGAUAUCAAAGCCGGGGAUCGCAAGACCUGGCGCUUGAAGAGGGGCCUACGUCCGAUUAGCUAGUUGGUGGGGUAACGGCUCACCAAGGCGACGAUCGGUAUCCGGCCUGAGAGGGCGGACGGACACACUGGGACUGAGACACGGCCCAGACUCCUACGGGAGGCAGCAGUAGGGAAUUGUUCGCAAUGGGCGCAAGCCUGACGACGCAACGCCGCGUGGAGGAUGAAGGGCUUCGGCUCGUAAACUCCUUUCGACCGAGAUGAAUAACCAUGGACCCAAUACGUCCAUGGUCUGACAGUAUCGAGGGAAGAAGCCCCGGCU